CAAAAACAUCGCCUCCUGCAAAAAUCAAUGUAUAGGAGGUCCUGCCUGCCCAGUGACUAUUAGUUAAACGGCCGCGGUAUUUUGACCGUGCUAAGGUAGCGCAAUCACUUGUCCUUUAAAUGAGGACCUGUAUGAAUGGUGGAACGAGGGCUUAACUGUCUCCCCCCUCCAGUCAAUGAAAUUGAUCUAUCCGUGCAGAAGCGGAUAUUAACCUACAAGACGAGAAGACCCUUUGGAGCUUAAGAUAUCAUGACCAACUGUGUUAAACCCUCUAGCCUAAAAGAGUAAAACAAAACAGCAACUGACCAGUAUCUUCGGUUGGGGCGACCGCGGGGGAAAAUAAAGCCCCCAUGUGGAAUGGGGUACAACCCUAAAACCAAGAGAGACAUCUCUAAGUCACAGAACUUCUGACCAAAAGAUCCGGCCAAUACGCCGACCAACGAACCAAGUUACCCUAGGGAUAACAGCGCAAUCCUCUUUGAGAGUUCAUAUCGACAAGUGGGUUUACGACCUCGAUGUUGGAUCAGGACAUCCUAAUGGUGCAGCCGCUAUUAAGGGUUCGUUUGUUCAACGAUUAAAGUCCUACGUGAUCUGG
rnacentral:rRNA from 1 species